AGUAGUUUGAUCCUGGCUCGAGGACGAACGCUGGCGGCGUGCUUAACACAUGCAAGUCGAACGCUGAAGCCUGGCUUUUGUUGGGUGGAUGAGUGGCGAACGGGUGAGUAACACGUGAGUAACCUGCCCUCUUCUUUGGGAUAACGCCCGGAAACGGGUGCUAAUACUGGAUAUUCACUGAUCUUCGCAUGGGGGUUGGUGGAAAGGUUUGUUCUGGUGGGGGAUGGGCUCGCGGCCUAUCAGCUUGUUGGUGGGGUGAUGGCCUACCAAGGCUUUGACGGGUAGCCGGCCUGAGAGGGUGACCGGUCACAUUGGGACUGAGAUACGGCCCAGACUCCUACGGGAGGCAGCAGUGGGGAAUAUUGCACAAUGGGCGAAAGCCUGAUGCAGCGACGCCGCGUGAGGGAUGGAGGCCUUCGGGUUGUAAACCUCUUUCGCUCAUGGUCAAGCCGCAACUGUGGGUUGUGGUGAGGGUAGUGGGUAAAGAAGCGCCGGCUAACUACGUG
rnacentral:rRNA from 1 species